rnacentral:rRNA from 1 species
GUGUCAGCAGCCGCGGUAAUACGGAGGGUGCAAGCGUUGUCCGGAUUUAUUGGGUUUAAAGGGUGCGUAGGCGGCCUGUUAAGUCAGUGGUGAAAUCCUGCAGCUCAACUGUAGAAUUGCCAUUGAUACUGACGGGCUUGAAUUCAGGCGAGGUAGGCGGAAUUGACGGUGUAGCGGUGAAAUGCAUAGAUAUCGUCAAGAACACCGAUUGCGAAGGCAGCUUACUAGACUGACAUUGACGCUGAGGCACGAAAGUGUGGGGAUCAAACAGGAUUAGAUACCCUGGUAGUCC